GUGCUUACUUCAGCAACAAAUAUACUAAUUGAAAUGAUACAGGGAAGACUAGCAUUAGCAUGGCCCCUGCUCAAGGAUGGAACACAAAUUCAUGAAGUGUCUUU
rnacentral:snRNA from 1 species